UUCCCUUCUGGAGCCUGAGGGGCAAUGAAGGGUGUGCUGCUCUGGACAAAGGAGAUCAAGGAUCAACCAGAGGUGGCUCUGGAUGCAUUUGGUGAAGCUGGGAGAGAGAGGAUCUGAGAACUUUAACCCUGAGGCAGUGAGCUGUGGAAAAGAAAGAUGCAACAUAGGAACUUGGCUUUCCAGGUGUGAGAUGGAUAGCUUCCCUGCGGACAAGUGUUAGCAGGCCUACUGUGAUACUGGAUAACUUGUAACAACUGCAGCGCUGGUGAAAAGUAAGACAUUCUACUUAAUCUGAUGCAGAAACUUCAGUAGUGGACGUCAAAAUAUUUACUAUUGUGAAAGCCCAAGAUUGGAGAAAGACCAAAGACAGCUUUAUUUUUGUAAAGUCUUUCAACAGCUCCCUCAUGCAAGCAGUGAUAAUUUUGCUACAGUGUUCAGUUUUAAUACUACAACUGACUAUGCUGUGUGUAUCACCUAUUUGUUAAAUAAUAAGUAAAAUAAUUACUGAAAUAA